rnacentral:lncRNA from 1 species
CAAAAUGUAAUUUCCUUUAUUUGUACCAGUUUUUAGAGCUGUCAGAAUUUCAUGAUUCUAGUUCACCAACACAUUCACGUGUGUACAUGCGCGUGCACACACACCACCAAGGUGCAAGACAGAUGUGAAUGAAGUAGACAGUCUAGAAGUCAGGUGAAUAUUAAUGAGAAAUAUGACAUAGGGACAGCCCUCCCAUUUCUACUUCCACCUUCAUUGACCAUUAUACUGCCCCCUGGACAUUCUUACCAUUAGCUGACAGGUAUGCAAGCAGAGUGCUGAAGAUGUCUCAUGUGAAUAAAAUGUAACUCACUCACUCAGUUAAAACUAGGAUUCUGUAUCUUAACUCUUAUCUAGGGAACUUACUUACUUACCCCAUGAUCUGUAUAUAGUUGCCUCUCAGGAUAAAUGCAUAUAUAGAAGAUGGUCAUGCUCAGGGCUAAAUAUGUUCUGGAAGCCUUUUAUAAGUUCUCAGGCCUGUGUCCUGGUAAACAUUACCUUAGUGAUUAUUUGGUCUGCAUUCAUUGGAAGAGCUUAGGGAUAGAAAAUGCCUCCUGCCCUCUCCAGCUGUUUGCUGCCUGUACCAUCGCACAGAACUCACACCAGUACUUUAGAGUAUGAAAGAUAAUACUGAAGAGAAAAGUGACUUGUAUCUAACAUUUCAAUCUCCUUGCAGAUUUCAUACAUACUUAAUGAUUAGUACAUUCAGACUAAAGGGAAAUUUCUUUUGAUGGCACGUACUAUGGUAAAUCAAAGCGCAAACUCAGAAGUGCUAUGGUAUUGAGGCACUUACCAACCUUCAAAAGUAAGAGUAAAAUGGGAUAUUCCUACCCUUUUUUUUAGUAUUUCUAAGUGAAUCUCUGUAAUAUUCUUUGU